rnacentral:rRNA from 1 species
UUUUUUGAGAGUUUGAUCCUGGCUCAGGAUUAACGCUGGCGGCAUGCCUAAUACAUGCAAGUCGAACGGAAAUCUCCUACUUGUAGGAGAUUUUAGUGGCGAACGGGUGAGUAAUACGUAUUUAACCUGCCCUUAAGUUGGGGAUACCCAUUGGAAACGAUGAUUAAUACCGAAUAAUCUUCAUUAAACUCCGGUUUGUUGAAGCAAAGAGGCGUUUGCCUCGCUUUGGGAUGGGAAUGCGGUGCAUUAGCUAGUUGGUAAGGUAACGGCUUACCAAGGCGACGAUGCAUAGCCGGGCUGAGAGGCUGAACGGCCACAUUGGGAUUGAGAUACGGCCCAGACUCCUACGGGAGGCAGCAGUAAGGAAUUUUUCACAAUGGACGAAAGUCUGAUGAAGCAAUGCCGCGUGAUUGAUGAAGGUUCUCGAAUCGUAAAAAUCUGUGGUAGGGGAAAAAGAUUUAGUGAAAGGAAAUGUUCACUGAUUUUGAUGGUACCUUACUAGAAAGUCAUGACUAACUACGUGCCAGCAGUCGCGGUAAUACGUAGGUGGCGAGCGUUAUCCGGAUUUAUUGGGCGUAUAGUAUGCGUAGACGGAAGAGCAAGUCAAAGGUUUAAUCUUGGGGCCCAACCCCAUUUCGCCUUUGAAACUGUUUUUCUUUGAGGAUAGAAGACGUUAGUGGAAUUUCAUGUGGAGCGGUGAAAUGCGUGGAUAUAUGAAAGAACACCAAGAGCGAAGGCAACUAACGAGUUUAUUCCUGACGUUGAGGCAUGAAAGCAUGGGGAGCAAAUCGGAUUAGAUACCCGAGUAGUCCAUAGCUGUAAACGAUGAGUGCUAGAUGUUCGGAAACGAGUGUCGAAGCUAACGCGUUAAGCACUCCGCCUGGGGAGUACGCACGCAAGUGUAAAACUCAAAGGAAUUGACGGGAACCCGCACAAGCGGUGGAACAUGUGGUUUAAUUCGAAGCAACGCGAAGAACCUUACCAGGGUUUGAAAUUUGGCGCAAAGUGGCAGAAAUGUCACUGAGGUUAACGUUAAACAGAUGGUGCAUGGCUGUCGUCAGUUCGUGUCGUGAGAUGUAAGGUUAAGUCCUCUAACGAACGCAACCCUUGUCGUUAGUUGCUAACAUUAAGUUGAGUACUUUAGCGAGACUGCCGGUGCAAACCGGAGGAAGGUGAGGAUGACGUCAAGUCCGUAUGCCUCUUACACCCUGGGCUACACACGUGUUACAAUGGCUAUUACAAAAAGAUGCAAUACCGCGAGGUAGAGCCAAUCUCCAAAAAUAGUCUCAGUUCGGAUCGAAGUCUGCAACUCGACUUCGUGAAGUCGGAAUCGCUAGUAAUCGCAGAUCAGCAACGCUGCGGUGAAUACGUUCUCGGGUUUUGUACACACCGCCCGUCAAACCAUGAAAGUUGGUAGUGCUGGAAGUUGAUUUCUCAACUCGCUUGCGAGAGAGUGUCAACCAAGGUAAGACCGAUGAUUGGGGUUAAGUCGUAACAAGGUAUCCCUACGAGAACGUGGGGAUGGAUCACCUCCUUU